UCUCAGUUCAGAGAAAUCAACCAAACUGAAGAUGUGCUGACCUUUUGAGACUGAACUAGAAGAUCCCUUGACAGAAAAUCCUGUAGAAUAUUCAGGUGACAUACUGUAUUUCAGUGCAGCUACUUUCAUUAGUGUUCAGAACUUCGUACACAAUCCUGAAAUGGAAGUGCUCCACCACAGUUUAGGAAAAGGAGAAGGGAAAGAGUUACCUGGAAGAAAAGCUGAAAACAAGGCACAAGGGGACAAGUGGCCAACACACGUUGCACUUGAGCUUUUUUCAGCUGGAGCACGGGCCUCAGGAGUUUGGCAUAGAUUCCAGCGUGCUGGCAGUGUCUUGCUUGACUUUGGGAUGCUCAUAUAGAAUUCUCUUAAGUGGACAAUGA